CAAGUCGAACGCGAAAGUCCCCUUCGGGGGACAAGUAGAGUGGCGUCCGGGUGAGUAACACGUAGGUAAUCUACCUUCGGGUGGGGAAUAACGCAGGGAAACUUGCGCUAAUACCGCAUAAUGCAGCGGCACCACAUGGUGACAGUUGUUAAAGCGGGGGAUUUUCGAACCUCGCGCCUGAAGAGGAGCCUGCGGCAGAUUAGCUAGUUGGUAAGGUAAUGGCUUACCAAGGCGACGAUCUGUAACCGGCCUGAGAGGGCGGUCGGUCACACUGACACUGACAUACGGGUCAGACUCCUACGGGAGGCAGCAGUCGGGAAUUUUGGGCAAUGGGCGAAAGCCUGACCCAGCAACGCCGCGUGAAGGAUGAAAUCCUUCGGGAUGUAAACUUCGCAAGAAUGGGAAGAAUGAGUAGGGGCUAAUACUCCCUAUGAUGACGGUACCAUUUGUAAGCUCCGGCUAACUCCGUGCCAGCAGCCGCGGUAAUACGGGGGGAGCAAGCGUUGUUCGGAUUUACUGGGCGUAAAGGGCGCGUAGGCGGCCAGCGCAAGUCAGUUGUGAAAUCUCCGGGCUUAACUCGGAACGGUCAACUGAUACUGCGCGGCUAGAGUGCGGAAGGGGCAACUGGAAUUCUCGGUGUAGCGGUGAAAUGCGUAGAUAUCGAGAGGAACACCUGCGGCGAAGGCGGGUUGCUGGGCCGACACUGACGCUGAUGCGCGAAAGCCAGGGGAGCGAACGGGAUUAGAUACCCCGGUAGUCCUGGCCUUAAACGAUGGAUGCUUGGUGUCUGGAGUUUUAUAGUCUCCGGGUGCCGCAGCUAACGCGUUAAGCAUCCCGCCUGGGGAAGUACGGUCGCAAGACUGAAACUCAAAGGAAUUGACGGGGACCCGCACAAGCGGUGGA
rnacentral:rRNA from 1 species